ACUGAGGUCCCACUUAAUGGGUUAACAAUCAUGCUCAAAAUGAGGCCAGUCAGCACAGUUGAUUCUUUCAGCAGGCAUAUUCAGCUGUUCUGGUAAACACAGAGCUGGGUUUUGCCAGGGUGGUAGUUCUGCUAAGCAACUUUGACAAAGUGAGAAGAGGGUAAGAGAUUUCAUGGGUCCUGAAGUGAGUGAUUACAACAUGAUAAUGACCAGAGAAUUUAUGCUGAGUAGAUAGGACCCCAAGUAAAAGGAAGGAAGGACUUUCAAAGGGAUUAGAAAUCCCCAUGAUUUAGAGGGAUUGGAGGAAUAGGGGUAUUAGAAAGAAUGAACUGGAAAAAAUAGGAGGUAGGGUCAGAAAAUGCUUCCUUUGUAAGGACUGUGCUAAAAAUGAAUGAAUGGGGAUUUCUCUGGUGGUACGGUGGAUACCCUGGUAGCUCAGAUAGUGAAGAAUCUACUUGUAAUGUGGUAGACCUGGGUUCGAUCUGUGGGUCAGGAAGAUCCUCUGGAGAAGGAAAUGGCAACCCACUCUAGGAUUCUUGCCUGGAAAAUCCCAUGGACAGAAGAGCCUGGUGGGCUACAGUCCAUGGGGCCACAAAGAGUUGGACAUGACUGAGCGACUAACACAUAGGGUCAGAAUGGAAUGUGUCCAAUUAAGAUUUUGAAAAUGCAUCUAAAAUCUUAGGGUAAUAUCUGGCACAAAUCAAAUACUCAAUUAUAAAUAGCUCUUGUUUGGAGUUCAUAAUACCUGUCCAAAACCUUUGAGGCCAGAUAUGUUUCAUAAUCCAGUCCUUCAGAUUGUAGGAUGAAGUCUUGGAAAGCUUUCCAUAAUCAAGUAUACUUGUAUUUCUUCAGUGAAAUAUAUGAAUAUUAUAUGAAUAUCCCACAUUAAGUGGGAUACAUAGCCAAAGGUAGGCUUAGGCUAGACUUUGCUAUCCAAUAAGUUUUGGCACUAAACUUAAAAAGCAGACAGUUUUUGUCUUGGGGACUUCCCUGGUGCUCCUGUACUUAAGAAUCUGCCUGCUGAUUCAGGGGACAUGCUUUGGAUCCCUGCUGGUUCAAGAAGAUCCCACAUGUCGCAGGGCAGCUAAGCCUGUGUGCCACAACUACUGAACCCAUAAAGCUCUAAGAGUCCAUGCUCCACAACAAGAGAAGCCACUACAAUGAGAAACCCAUGCACCGAAUACAGAGUAGCUUCCCACUUUUCCCAACUAGAGAAAGCUGUGUGCAACAAUGACCCAGCACAGCCAAAAUAAAUAAAUAAUUAAGAGCCUUUGAGAUUUAAGAAUUGCAGACAAGAGAAGGUGAACCUGUACUGGCAUUUAGACUAAGAGUUAAGGAAUUAUGGGCAAUCACUUUAUCUCUCUAGAUAUUAGUUAUUUCUGUAUGAAAAGAAGACUUUGAAAAAUUUCUUAGCUACUUUGAGCUCAACAUUUUACGUUUCAUUGAUACCCUUUGCUGGGCUUUAAAAAUUUUACUCAUAAACUAUUUACAGUUGAAUAAAGAGGGUUGGCCUAAAUUUUAAUAAAUGAGCUUAUUUUGAUUGUUAUGAUCUUGGGGUGACUAUUACAGUCUUGGGGAUUCCCUGGCAGUCCCAAGGACUCUGUGCUUCCACUGCAGGGUGCGUGGGUUCCAUCCCUGGUUGGGGAACUAGGAUCUCAUAUACCUUGUGGUAUGGGGGAAAGAAAAAAGCACAGCAAAACAAACAAAAAACUAUUAUAGUCCUGCUUAAACUGAUAAUAUCAGAAGAGUUUAGAACCUUUUCUUUUGCAUUUUCAAGGCUAAGAACAAUAUAAAUCAAUCACAGGCAUUUGAACAUCUAUCAAAUUUGGUGAAACCUCACAGGUCAGGUUUGGAGCAUCUGUGGUCUUUGUGAUUGGCAUGGCUGCACGUUGGGCACCUGGGGCAAAUGACUUCUCAGCCUCUCUUCACAGACAUCAGAUUCUAGAAGUGACUCCUUUUAGAGCCACCGAAAAGCCAAUUUUGCCUUAGCUUCUAGAAGAAGGGACCAGCUCAUGUGUGGGACUGUGAACUUGCUGCUAGAUUUGUCUUCCUUUACGCGGGCUACAUCGCUGGAACACGAGAAGGAAGUGCGAUGACAUCAAGCUCCCGAAGAGGAACAGUCCUGGCCUCCCAAGACCCACUCAGAGCUCUCACAUCAUUCAUCAGUGGCUCCUGAGAAGAUGAGAGGUAAUGACAGCUGCAGAG
ensembl:lncRNA